CACGUAGGGCGCAAGCGUUGUCCGGAAUUAUUGGGCGUAAAGAGCUCGUAGGCGGUCUGUUGCGUCCGCUGUGAAAACUCGGGGCUUAACCCCGAGCCUGCAGUGGAUACGGGCAGACUAGAGGUAGGUAGGGGAGAAUGGAAUUCCCGGUGUAGCGGUGAAAUGCGCAGAUAUCAGGAGGAACACCGGUGGCGAAGGCGGGUCUCUGGGCAGUAACUGACGCUGAGGAGCGAAAGCAUGGGGAGCGAACAGG
rnacentral:rRNA from 1 species